CAGUCGCCGCGGUAACACGAACCGUGCGAACGUUAUUCGGAAUCACUGGGCUUAAAGCGCGUGUAGGCGGAUGGGAGCGUCGGCCUCUGAAAUCCCCCGGCUCAACCGGGGAAGUGGAGCCGAAACGACCCGUCUGGAGGGACGUAGGGGGACCUGGAACUUCCGGUGGAGCUGUGAAAUGCGUUGAGAUCAGAAGGAACGCCCGUGGCGAAAGCGAGGUCCUGGACGUCUGCUGACGCUGAGACGCGAAAGCCAGGGGAGCGAACGGGAUUAGAUACCCGCGUAGUCCCUGUCUCUUAUA
rnacentral:rRNA from 1 species